rnacentral:rRNA from 1 species
CUACGGGCCGCAGCAGUGAGGAAUAUUGCACAAUGGGGGGAACCCUGAUGCAGCAACGCCGCGUGGAGGAUGACGCAUUUCGGUGUGUAAACUCCUUUUAUAUGUCAAGAAAAUGACGGUAGCAUAUGAAUAAGCACCGGCUAACUCCGUGCCAGCAGCCGCGGUAAUACGGAGGGUGCAAGCGUUACUCGGAAUCACUGGGCGUAAAGGACGCGUAGGCGGGUUGGAAAGUCAGGUGUGAAAUCCUACAGCUUAACUGUAGAACUGCACUUGAAACUUCUAAUCUAGAGUAUGGGAGGGGGAGAUGGAAUUAGUGGUGUAGGGGUAAAAUCCGUGGAUAUCACUAGGAAUACCUAAAGCGAAGGCGAUCUCCCGGAACAUUACUGACGCUAAGGCGUGAAAGCGUGGGGAGCAAACAGGAUUAGAUACCCUAGUAGUC